UACGUAGGGUGCAAGCGUUAAUCGGAAUUAUUGGGCGUAAAGAGCUUGUAGGUGGCUCGUCGCGUCGGGCGUGAAAACCCGCGGCUUAACCGCGGGCCUGCUUUCGAUACGGGCGGGCUAGAGUUCGGCAGGGGAGACUGGAAUUCCUGGUGUAGCGGUGGAAUGCGCAGAUAUCAGGAGGAACACCGGUGGCGAAGGCGGGUCUCUGGGCCGAUACUGACACUGAGAAGCGAAAGCGUGGGGAGCGAACAGG
rnacentral:rRNA from 1 species